UGUAAAUGCCAUAUGUUUGUAGAUCUCUUGUGUGGUUUAGGAUACAUGUCACUUUGUCCCCACCUACCUGAGCCCUAGGAUCAUGGAUCAUGCCUCAGGACUAUCUGGCCUGAUUACUUCUGGCUGUCCCCAGUCUACCUGGUCGUGCUGCUGCUCCAGUUUCAACUGUUCUGCCGGCGGCUAGGGAACCCUGACCUGUUCCAGUGACUUUCUACCUUGUCGCAGACCUGCUGUCUUCGACUCUCUCUACUGCACCUGCUGUCUUAACCUCUGAAUGCUCGGUUAUGAAAAGCCAACUGACAUGUAGUCCUGAGGUCAGAGGGAUUAUCAGAGUCUGGUCCAAACACACUUCUACUGUUGGAGAGUGUUUUUUACAGGCACUGAAUCCAUUGCCCACCUGGUCAACUUCUCCAUAACUGAUAACAGAGGAGACAUUCUCUGAUUGCCCUAAAAUGGCUGAGAUAGGACCACAACAGUCUUCGUAAAAUGCUUGCUUCAUUGUCCAGCAUGGGAUUAUAGCUAACUAGGGCCCGGGAGGACAGGUGCCGGA